rnacentral:rRNA from 1 species
UACGGGGGGAGCAAGCGCUGUUCGGAUUUACUGGGCGUAAAGGGCGCGUAGGCGGUCAGCACAAGUCAGUUGUGAAAUCUCCGGGCUUAACUCAGAAAGGUCAACUGAUACUGUGCGACUAGAGUGCGGAAGGGGCAACUGGAAUUCUCGGUGUAGCGGUGAAAUGCGUAGAUAUCGAGAGGAACACCUGCGGCGAAGGCGGGUUGCUGGGCCGACACUGACGCUGAUGCGCGAAAGCCAGGGGAGCGAACGGG